rnacentral:rRNA from 1 species
CAUGCAAGUCGAACGGUGAUCUCCGCUUGCGGGGUGAUCAGUGGCGAACGGGUGAGUAACACGUGGGCAACCUGCCCCCGGCUCUGGGAUAACUCCAAGAAAUUGGGGCUAAUACCGGAUAUCCACUGCUGGCCGCAUGGUCUGGUGGUGGAAAGGGUUUCCGGCUGGGGAUGGGCCCGCGGCCUAUCAGCUUGUUGGUGGGGUAGUGGCCUACCAAGGCGACGACGGGUAGCCGGCCUGAGAGGGUGACCGGCCACACUGGGACUGAGACACGGCCCAGACUCCUACGGGAGGCAGCAGUGGGGAAUAUUGCGCAAUGGGCGGAAGCCUGACGCAGCGACGCCGCGUGGGGGAUGACGGCCUUCGGGUUGUAAACCUCUUUCAGCAGGGACGAAGCGCAAGUGACGGUACCUGCAGAAGAAGCACCGGCCAACUACGUGCCAGCAGCCGCGGUAAUACGUAGGGUGCAAGCGUUAUCCGGAAUUAUUGGGCGUAAAGAGCUCGUAGGCGGUUUGUCGCGUCUGCCGUGAAAGUCCGGGGCUUAACUCCGGAUCUGCGGUGGGUACGGGCAGACUAGAGUGCAGUAGGGGAGACUGGAAUUCCUGGUGUAGCGGUGAAAUGCGCAGAUAUCAGAGGAACACCGAUGGCGAAAGCAGGUCUCUGGGCUGUAACUGACGCUGA